rnacentral:rRNA from 1 species
AUUGAACGCUGGCGGCAUGCCUUACACAUGCAAGUCGAACGGUAACAGGUUAAGCUGACGAGUGGCGAACGGGUGAGUAAUAUAUCGGAACGUGCCCAGUCGUGGGGGAUAACUGCUCGAAAGAGCAGCUAAUACCGCAUACGACCUGAGGGUGAAGCGGGGGAUCGCAAGACCUCGCGCGAUUGGAGCGGCCGAUAUCAGAUUAGGUAGUUGGUGGGGUAAAGGCCUACCAAGCCUACGAUCUGUAGCUGGUCUGAGAGGACGACCAGCCACACUGGGACUGAGACACGGCCCAGACUCCUACGGGAGGCAGCAGUGGGGAAUUUUGGACAAUGGACGCAAGUCUGAUCCAGCCAUGCCGCGUGCGGGAAGAAGGCCUUCGGGUUGUAAACCGCUUUUGUCAGGGAAGAAAAGGUUCUGGUUAAUACCUGGGACUCAUGGCGGUACCUGAAGAAUAAGCACCGGCUAACUACGUGCCAGCAGCCGCUGUAACAC